rnacentral:lncRNA from 1 species
CUAUGCCUCCAGAGAUCUCAUGGACUUCCACCUUUCUGGCAUCUUCAUCUUCGGGGCCAUGAUGCAAAAUGAUGGUGAAAGGUGGUCUAGAGAGUGGACAUGGGUUGGAUUAAACUGAAAUCAAGUAGGAGAGGACGGUCUUUAAGAGAUUUCCCACAAAUUUGAUAGCUAGGAUUUGGAAAACUAGGGAAAACCGAAAAUGAGCCAUGAGAACUAAGGA